GGCAGGUAAUAUAUACAAGACUUUUAUAAUAAUUAUGAAAUUAAAAAGGCUUUUAGUCCUGGCAACUACUAGUAUAGGACAUUUUAUUAGUUAUAUCAUAUUCACUGAACAUACGAAAAAUAAAACUAACAUAUAUUCAUGUUGAUGUGCAUUGUACACAAAAUCAGGCUCGAGUCGAAGGUUCGAAGUCAAAAUACGUUAGUAUACUAGUUACAUCUUAGAAGAGCGAUUAUCGGGCCAUUUGUUUUUAUCUUAUAAAUUCUUUUAACGUAUUUUGACUUCGAAUACCACUGGCUCGAGCCUGGUGAUGUGUACAAUGCACAUUAACAUGAAGAUAUGUUAGUUUUAUUUUUUGAAUGUUCUUGAUGAUGCUCCAUUUACGGCUACAUUAUAUUGGGUGUAAACUUUUGGUUACAAGAAGAGAACUUAUAUUAGAUUU
rnacentral:lncRNA from 1 species